rnacentral:tRNA from 1 species
UCCCCGGUAGCUCAGCGGUAGAGCAUCGGACUGUUAAUCCGUGGGUCGUUGGUUCGAUUCCAACCCGGGGAGCCA